UACGUAGGGUGCAAGCGUUGUCCGGAAUUAUUGGGCGUAAAGAGCUCGUAGGCGGUCUGUCGCGUCGGAUGUGAAAACUCGGGGCUCAACCCCGGGCCUGCAUUCGAUACGGGCAGACUAGAGUACGGCAGGGGAGACUGGAAUUCCUGGUGUAGCGGUGAAAUGCGCAGAUAUCAGGAGGAACACCGGUGGUGUAGACGGCUCUCUGGACCGUAACUGACGCUGAGGCACGAAAGCGUGGGUAGCAAACAGG
rnacentral:rRNA from 1 species